CCCGGGCAGCGCCGCCCGCCCGAAGCCCCGGCCGCCAUCUUUGGUAGGGGCAGGGAGCACGCGCCUCCUCACACACCUCCUCCUGUCACCUCCCUCCCCCGGGGCGAGGAGGCGGUGGAUGGUGGCCAGCGCUAAUUAAGGAAAAAAAAAAAAUUAAAAAAAAAAAAAAUAGCGUUUCAUCGAGGUAGCGAGGAGGUGCGGAGCUCCAGCCGCACUGCCCGCAUUAAAGAUGGCCAGCGGAGCCCCUCAGCUGUCACGGGGCGGUAGGAACUGCCGCGCUCCCUCGGGGACACCCCGGUUUUAGACAUAAGAACCCAUUUUCACUCUUUAUUGGUGCGUUGGGUCAGGCCUUAACGCUGCCUCAGGAGACCUUCUGUGAAGCCUUCCUUGGCGGCCGCCACGGCCAUCAAUGAGCGGGUGCCAGGCAGGGCCCCGUGGACGCAGGCUCCCGCGUUGGAUCCAGAGAGGAGCUCGAUUUUAUCCCCGCGUUGCCAAAUCACCUGGCAGCCACCUGCGGCACCGGGCAGGAACCAUCACUCCAUCUUUCCAACCUGCCAGAGGGCAAGAGUGGAGACACCGAGGAGACGUGGGCCUGUCUGCCACCGUCGGCGGGGAAAAAAGGGUUCUACCGUUACUGACGUCUGAGGCAUCACCUACCACUACAGGGCUUUUGGUUAUUUGCCAAGGAACUUCUAGACGUCCUGACACGUUACACACUCUUUCACGUAAAGCAAGGAAUUACUUGAAUCAAAAGGAUGAAAACACCCUAACAAGCCUCUCCAAUUCAAGAGCGCAAAACUGUGGAAAUAUGACCCGCGCCAUGAGAAAUCCCACAGGAUUACAUCAAAGGCCAGGCAAAGACACGUGUCAAUCUGAAGAGUAAUUUGAGAGUUACAUAUCUGAACAAUGGGAACCAGCGCCUGAACCGUCGGAGGGAGGUAUUUUCCGUGCCCCAAGUCAUUCCGGUUUGGGAUAUAUUCCUGUCAGCGCAACUUUGAAGGGAAGGUUGCUGCUGCUAUGUCCUAAAUAAAGCAAAAUUAGCAAAGUCUGUUGCUAGCGUC
rnacentral:lncRNA from 1 species